GACGAACGCUGGCGGCGUGCUUAACACAUGCAAGUCGAACGGAAAGGCCCUGCGUUUGUGGGGUGCUCGAGUGGCGAACGGGUGAGUAACACGUGAGUAACCUGCCCUUGACUUUGGGAUAACUUCAGGAAACGGGGGCUAAUACCGGAUAGGAGCUCCUGCUGCAUGGUGGGGGUUGGAAAGUUUCGGCGGUUGGGGCUGGACUCGCGGCUUAUCAGCUUGUUGGUGGGGUAGUGGCUUACCAAGGCUUUGACGGGUAGCCGGCCUGAGAGGGUGACCGGCCACAUUGGGCCUGAGAUACGGCCCAGACUCCUACGGGAGGCAGCAGUGGGGAAUAUUGCACAGUGGGCGGGAGCCUGAUGCGGCAGCGCCGCGUGCGGGAUGACGGCCUUCGGGUUGUAAACCGCUUUCGCCUGUGACGAAGCGUGAGUGACGGUAAUGGGUAAAGAAGCACCGGCUAACUACGUG
rnacentral:rRNA from 1 species